rnacentral:rRNA from 1 species
AACGAACGCUGGCGGCAUGCCUAACACAUUCAAGUCGAACGAGACCUUCGGGUCUAGUGGCGCACGGGUGCGUAACGCGUGGGAACCUGCCCUUAGGUUCGGAAUAACUCCCCGAAAGGGGUGCUAAUACCGGCUAAUGUCUUCGGACCAAAGAUUUAUCGCCUUUGGAUGGGCCCGCGUUUGAUUAGCUAGUUGGUAGGGUAAAAGCCUACCAAGGCGACGAUCCAUAGCUGGUCUGAGAGGAUGAUCAGCCACACUGGGACUGAGACACGGCCCAGACUCCUACGGGAGGCAGCAGUGGGGAAUAUUGGAAAAUGGGCGAAAGCCUGAUCCAGCAAUGCCGCGUGAGUGAUGAAGGCCUUAGGGUUGUAAAGCUCUUUUACCCGGGAUGAUAAUGACAGUACCGGGAGAAUAAGCUACGGCUAACUCCGUG